UACGUAGGGGGCAAGCGUUGUCCGGAAUCAUUGGGCGUAAAGCGCGCGUAGGCGGCCCUGUAAGUCCGUUGUGAAAGUCAAAGGCUCAACCUUUGAAAGCCGAUGGAUACUGCAGGGCUAGAGUCCGGAAGAGGCGAGUGGAAUUCCUGGUGUAGCGGUGGAAUGCGUAGAGAUCGGCAGGAACACCCAGGGGGAAACCAGUGGACUGGGCAUGUGCUGACGCUCAGGUGCGAAAGCGUGGGGAGCGAACAGG
rnacentral:rRNA from 1 species